AACUAUUUAGUUUAAAAAAAACAUUAAUUUUGUAAAUUAAAAAUAAAUUAAAUUUAAUAGUUU
rnacentral:tRNA from 1 species